rnacentral:rRNA from 1 species
AUGAACGCUGGCGGCGUGCCUAAUACAUGCAAGUCGAGCGAACGGACGAGAAGCUUGCUUCUCUGAUGUUAGCGGCGGACGGGUGAGUAACACGUGGAUAACCUACCUAUAAGACUGGGAUAACUUCGGGAAACCGGAGCUAAUACCGGAUAAUAUUUUGAACCGCAUGGUUCAAAAGUGAAAGACGGUCUUGCUGUCACUUAUAGAUGGAUCCGCGCUGCAUUAGCUAGUUGGUAAGGUAACGGCUACCAAGGCAACGAUGCAUAGCCGACCUGAGAGGGUGAUCGGCCACACUGGAACUGAGACACGGUCCAGACUCCUACGGGAGGCAGCAGUAGGGAAUCUUCCGCAAUGGGCGAAAGCCUGACGGAGCAACGCCGCGUGAGUGAUGAAGGUCUUCGGAUCGUAAAACUCUGUUAUUAGGGAAGAACAUAUGUGUAAGUAACUGUGCACAUCUUGACGGUACCUAAUCAGAAAGCCACGGCUAACUACGUG